UACGGAGGAUGCGAGCGUUAUCCGGAUUUAUUGGGUUUAAAGGGUGCGCAGGCGGCACGGCAAGCCGGCGGUCAAAUCGCGGGGCUCAGCCCCGCCCAGCCGUCGGAACUGCCGGGCUAGAGUGGGCGAGAAGUGCGCGGAAUGCGUGGUGUAGCGGUGAAAUGCAUAGAUAUCACGCAGAACUCCGAUUGCGAGGGCAGCGCACCGGCGCCCUACUGACGCUCAGGCACGAAAGCGUGGGUAUCGAACAGG
rnacentral:rRNA from 1 species